rnacentral:rRNA from 1 species
UGGUACGAUCAUAAAAGAAUUAAUGCACCAAAUCCCAUCAGAACUCUGCAGUUAAGCGCGCUUGGGCUAGAGUAGUACUGGGAUGGGUGACCUCCCGGGAAGUCCCAGUGUUGCACCCU